UCGAGAAUUUUUCUCAAUGGGCGAAAGCUUGAAGGAGCGACGCCGCGUGGGGGAUGAAGGGCUUCGGCUCGUAAACCCCUGUCAUUUGCGAACAAACCUUCUCAUAUAAUACAUGGGAAGCUGAUAGUAGCGAAAGAGGAAGGGACGGCUAACUCUGUGCCAGCAGCCGCGGUAAUACAGAGGUCCCAAGCGUUGUUCGGAUUCACUGGGCGUAAAGGGUGCGUAGGUGGUAUGGUAAGUUCGAUGUGAAAGCUCCGAGCUCAACUCGGAAAUGGCAUUGAAUACUAUUGUACUUGAGGGUCGGAGGGGAGACUGGAAUUCUCGGUGUAGCGGUGAAAUGCGUAGAUAUCGAGAGGAACACCAGUGGCGAAAGCGAGUCUCUGGACGACACCUGACACUGAGGCACGAAAGCUAGGGGAGCAAACAGG
rnacentral:rRNA from 1 species